GACGAACGCUGGCGGCGUGCUUAACACAUGCAAGUCGAACGGAAAGGCCCUGCUUUUGUGGGGUGCUCGAGUGGCGAACGGGUGAGUAACACGUGAGUAACCUGCCCUUGACUUUGGGAUAACUUCAGGAAACUGGGGCUAAUACCGGAUAGGAGCUCCUGCUGCAUGGUGGGGGUUGGAAAGUUUCGGCGGUUGGGGAUGGACUCGCGGCUUACCAGCUUGUUGGUGGGGUAGUGGCUUACCAAGGCUUUGACGGGUAGCCGGCCUGAGAGGGUGACCGGCCACAUUGGGACUGAGAUACGGCCCAGACUCCUACGGGAGGCAGCAGUGGGGAAUAUUGCACAAUGGGCGGAAGCCUGAUGCAGCAACGCCGCGUGCGGGAUGACGGCCUUCGGGUUGUAAGCCGCUUUCGCCUGUGACGAAGCAUGAGUGACGGUAAUGGGUAAAGAAGCACCGGCUAACUACGUG
rnacentral:rRNA from 1 species